ensembl:lncRNA
GUUUAGGCCUGGGGAAGAUUCAUUUCCUUUAUUACCCGCUAACAGCGCCCUAGGGUAGUGAGAAGAGAAAGCAGACUAAAAGCACCUUCCCCCUUUACUCUGUGUCUACGGCAGGUAUCUGAAGGGAAGGUGGCAGCGGCACACCACAAGGAUGGUGCUGGAUCCCAGGCUGGCGCACACUGUCACCUGAUGUGUAAGCUGCAAUUUAUUUUGAAGCAUUUUCUCAUUAUCCUCAGGUUUAUUCGUAACUUCUCCCACCAGCAUGCUGAGGGCAAGCACUGACUGGCUUCCAUGUGGGCUGUGGGGCUGUGACCUCACAGAGGUGUCCCCACCCAAAGGAUUGUGACCUCACGGCCAACUCAGUAUGAGCUAGCAACCAGCACCCUGCCUCUCCCAGUGCGGUCGUGACCGGCUUUGAGCGAUGGUUGACGACAGCUUUCUCCUUGUCCCUAUGACCCUUUUCUUCCU